rnacentral:rRNA from 1 species
UACGUAGGGGGCGAGCGUUGUCCGGAUUUAUUGGGCGUAAAGAGCUCGUAGGCGGUUCAUCAAGUCGGGCGUGAAAGUUCAGGGCUCAACCCUGAAAUGUCGAUCGAUACUGUUGUGACUAGGAUACGGUAAAGGUGAGUGGAAUUCCGAGUGUAGCGGUGAAAUGCGUAGAUAUUCGGAGGAACACCAAUUGCGAAGGCAGCUCACUGGGCCGCUAUCGACGCUGAGGAGCGAAAGCUAGGGGAGCAAACAGGAUUAGAUACCCUGGUAGUCCUAGCUGUAAACGAUGGAUACUAGACGUAGGAACUGGAUUGACGGUUUCUGUGUCGUAGCUAACGCGUUAAGUAUCCCGCCUGGGGAGUACGGUCGCAAGACUAAAACUCAAAGGAAUUGACGGGACCCCGCACAAGCGGCGGAGCAUGCGGCUUAAUUCGAUGAUAACCGUAGAACCUUACCUGGACUUGACAUAUAGGGUCUAGCUAUAGAGAUAUAGUGUGCAUUAGCGCCCUAUACAGGUGGUGCAUGGCUGUCGUCAGCUCGUGUCGUGAGAUGUUGGGUUAAGUUCCGCAACGAGCGCAACCCCUGUCCUAUGUUGCCAGCAUUUAGUUGGGGACUCAUAGGAGACUGCCGGUGAUAAACCGGAGGAAGGUGGGGACGACGUCAAGUCAUCAUGCCCCUUAUGUCCAGGGCUGCACGCAUGCUACAAUGGCAAGUACAACGAGUCGCAAUACCGCGAGGUGGAGCAAAUCUCUUAAAGCUUGUCUCAGUUCGGAUAGGAGUCUGCAACUCGACUCCCUGAAGUUGGAGUCGCUAGUAAUCGCAAAUCAGCAAAGUUGCGGUGAAUACGUUCUCGGGGU